UAUACAUGCAAGUUGUACGGGAUUAUUGGUAGCAAUACUGAUAUGAGAGUAGCGCACGGGUGCGUAACACGUAUGCAACCUACCUUUAACUGGGGAAUAGCUCACCGAAAGGUGAAUUAAUACCGCAUAAAAUCACAGAAGGACAUCCUUUAAUGAUUAAAUCUCCGGAGGUUAAAGAUGGGCAUGCGUCCGAUUAGCUAGUUGGCGGGGUAACAGCCCACCAAGGCAACGAUCGGUAGGGGGUCUGAGAGGAUGAUCCCCCACACUGGUACUGAGACACGGACCAGACUCCUACGGGAGGCAGCAGUAAGGAAUAUUGGACAAUGGGGGCAACCCUGAUCCAGCCAUGCCGCGUGAAGGAUGAAGGCCCUAUGGGUCGUAAACUUCUUUUACAGGGGACAAAUAUCUUGCUCGUGAGCAGGAUUGAUGGUACUCUGAGAAUAAGGGUCGGCUAACUUCGUGCCAGCAGCCGCGGUAAUACGAAGGACCCGAGCGUUAUCCGGAUUUAUUGGGUUUAAAGGGUGCGUAGGCGGAUUUACAAGUCAGUGGUGAAAUCUCCCAGCUCAACUGGGAAACUGCCAUUGAAACUGUUUAUCUUGAGUACAUUUGAGGCGGGCGGAAUGUGUCAUGUAGAGGUGAAAUUCUUAGAUAUGACACAGAACACCAAUUGCGAAGGCAGCUCGCUAAACUGUAACUGACGCUGAGGCACGAAAGCGUGGGGAUCAAACAGGAUUAGAUACCCUGGUAGUCCACGCCCUAAACGAUGAUUACUCGAAGUGUGCGAUACACAGCACGCCUCUGAGCGAAAGCAUUAAGUAAUCCACCUGGGAAGUACGACCGCAAGGUUGAAACUCAAAGGAAUUGACGGGGGCCCGCACAAGCGGAGGAGCAUGUGGUUUAAUUCGAUGAU
rnacentral:rRNA from 1 species